GGCCGUCUAGCUCAGUUGGUUAGAGCGUCGUGCUAAUACGUUGUUUGAGUAACGGGUCACGCGAAGGUUUGGGGUUCGACCCCCACGAUGGCUU